rnacentral:tRNA from 1 species
UGCGGCGUGGAGCAGUGGUUAGCUCACCAGGUUCAUACCCUGGAGGUCGUGGGUUCGAUCCCCACCGCCGCUACCA